rnacentral:pre_miRNA from 1 species
CGAAGACAUGGAAGAUUUCAUCCGCGACCUUGCUCUUAGAUCUACAAUGCCUCUUGCGAAACUGACAGCGGAAUACCGGACUUUUAUUUGAUCAUGAUGGAAUCCACAUGUGCCUCAUACUUCAGGAAUCCAUGCGGUCCACCAUGUGGCAUUGUAGGUUUAAGAGCUGUGCCGCGGGUGGAUUGAUGAUCACCUGU